rnacentral:rRNA from 1 species
ACCUGGCGGCGUGCCUAUACAUGCAGUCUAGCGGACUCUUUCGGGGGUCAGCGGCGGACGGGUGAGUAACACGUGGGUAACCUGCCGGACAGACGGGGAUAACGCCUGGAAACGGGUGCUAAUCCCGGGUAGAUUCUCUCUUCGCAUGGAGGGGGAAGGGAAGGUGGCGCAAGUCACCGCUGUUCGAGGGGCCCGCGGCGCAUUAGCUCGUUGGCGGGGUAAGGGCCCACCAAGGCGACGAUGCGUAGCCGACCUGAGAGGGUGAGCGGCCACACUGGGACUGAGACACGGCCCAGACUCCUACGGGAGGCAGCAGUAGGGAAUCUUCGGCAAUGGGCGACAGCCCGACCGAGCAACGCCGCGUGAGUGAAGACGGUCUUCGGAUUGUAAAGCUCUGUCAUGCGGGACGAGCGACAAGGAGAGGGCAUGCUCCUUGAGAGACGGUACCGCAGGAGGAAGCCCCGGCUAACUACGUGCCAGCAGCCGCGGUAAU